UUUAUUAGAUUGUAUUUUAACCACAAUAAGGAUAUACAAUUCUAUUAUAACCAUCAUAAGUAUUUCAAUACAUUCCCUAGCCAUCUAUUUUCUAUGAUAUUAGAAGGAUAUACAACAUUGCCUAUCAUUCGUCCUCGUUUCUCUGAGCUUAAUAAAGCUCUAAAGCCAAAGCAUCAAAAGCUAGAGGCAAAGUCAGUGGAUCAGAAGCCAAAGCUAACAUUGCAUAGUUGCAUUGCAAAAAAAAAUUGAAGUGUACGAAAAUUUGCCUAGGGCAAAUGUCUCUAUAAUGGUUUUCUAGGCUACCUCAACAUUAUUGGGAGGUCAGAUCUUAUUGAAAGUUGCAUAGAUGAUUGUUAGAGAUACCACAUUAUACAUAAAAAAACCUUUUGCACGUUGUUUGGAAGACAGUUAUGAAAGGCAUGUCAAGAACCACCUUGAUAAGGUCAUCCACACGAUCCAUGAGCUCUAGUUUUAGAUCUAGUAAGUGAUUGCCAGUGUCGAGAGUUCACAUCACAGUACAGUUGGAGACUGAAAAGAGGCGAAGGACGAGGAUCCCUACGCCAGUUUAGGGUUUUGUAUUUGAGGCUAACUAGGAGCCUCAGCUUUUUUAGAGACUAACUUAUAUUAGUCUAUCAUUGUAUAUAUUAGUUGUGGCGUCAGUGGCACCUUUUGUUAACAAAUGAAAUGGUGUGUAUUUAAUCAUGUAAAAGCACAAUGUUAUAAUUUAUUUAAUUAGAA